AGUAAUAAAAUGUGUCAGCUGCAUGGUUACAUUCUUGCAUUGCAUUUACAUAUUAUUUUCUUCAUUCACUUUGCUGUUUACAUAAAACCAAAAUGUGAAAUAAUCAGUAUUUUUAAGACUUUGUCACUAUUUACCUUUUAAUUUGUACUUGAAGUUUUAAUAGUGUAGUGGAAAGACUUAAGAUUUUGUAUAUGGAAUUGGCAAACGCUGGACAUCCUUGUGGCGAAAUAUCGUCCCAAGAAGUCCGGCUGGAUCGUGACCCCAAUAUUGAAUCGCUCCUGUGCAGAGGCACUCCUUUAAAGAAUGACUUUUGCUUCGCUUGUGGAGGGUCCCCCCUCAUCCAGAAAGGUCAAUAGAGUCGACGUCACACGGAGCAGGUCACCCUCUUCAAGGAUCUCCUCAUAUCGCCACCACUUCGAGCUAAAUUAUCCCCCAAGAAGUACAACCUAUUUGUCGCCAAUGUUUCAGCUUGUGAAGACUGCUACAUGCUGAGAUCAGGGGGGUGCGACUACGCCUCAUCUCGACCCAAAACCAUUUGGACCGGCUGGUCGCGAAGGGAAGGGAAACGCUACUAUUAUCCAAAAGAAAACGGAGAAGUAAAUAAUAUUUUCAAAACUUUACCAGGACGAAAUUUCGUCACGGAAUGUAAUGUAUUUGGCCACUAAAUAAAAUUGUGUGCCAAUGGAAUGAGUCAGAGGUCAGUCAGUCACGAAUGAAUCAGUCGACGCCGAAACGCGCCACAGCCUCCGAUAAGUUUGAUUCCCUGUUCUUUCUGCACUGGGACGCCUCGCCGCAGAAAAUCCAAAAUUGGUCGGGGUCGUAAUAAUGGCCUGAAAUAGGCCAUUAUUACAGUAAAAAUGAAAAUCAUCUCAAGAGCCGGUAACGGGAAAAUCAAUCUCUUCUCCCCUAGCUCCCCUCCCCCCAGAAGAAUUUGACUCGUUACCUGACGUACUCAUCAAAGACGAGGUCGAUGACGAUAUUUAUUUUGACGAGGUCAUCUAUCCCACAAAUUUGGAAGAAAUUUACCACAAUCAAGAGAUUCAGCCAAUUAUAGAAACUCGUGAAUCUAUUCCUUCGCAGCACCAAGUUGACCACAAUUCAGAACCGCAAAUUUUAGCACUCGACCAAGACCAAACUAAUUUUGAAGAUUCAAUAAGCAGGAAACACCCACUCGAUUAUUUCUCGUCGUCGGAGCAUCAACCGGAGAAAAUAAAACGUCGAAUAAGACGCAAACCUAAAAUUCAGAUGGGCACAGAUGUUCCUCCUCCACCCGCAAAAUAUCUAUGUUCCAAAUGUGGCAAAGAAUUCAAAACAUCGACAUCCCUGAUUUCGCAUGAAGUCACAGUCUGCAAAAUUUCCUAUGACAAAGUUGACCUGGAGUCAAGGGGGCUCAAAAUGUGACCACUGUGGCACGAAAUUUGUUAGUCACAAAGAUUACGAAAGGCACUAUUUAAGCCACAUCGUUGGUAAACGACAUUCUUGCUCUCACAAUCAGUGUGGAAAAUCCUUUAACCCUUUAAGGCGUAUGAUUAACUACAAGAAAUUGCAUUAAUCCGGGCACAUUAUACAUAUGCUGUGGUCAUGGCGCGGGAGGAGGAAUUCAGCAGUUUUGAUAAAACUCUAAAAAAUGAAUUCUACAAAAUUUAACAUUGCGUUAUAUUCGGAAAUAUCACAUUUUUCCACAAGAAAAUUCUCAAAUUUAACAUUUGGUUGGUAUACGAGAAAUCCCCCAAAAUUGCAGAAAAUUUUACGCCGUAGGGAGAAAUCGUGAAAAUCAAUGACCUCUAAGAAACGACAAUUGUCUUCCUCUCCCACCUUAACCACUAUUUUUCAUGACGACUUCUGUCUUCCUCCCGAAUUAAACCAUUUCCAAGAAAACGACAAUUGUCCUCCAUCCGAAUUAAAGGGUUAAACACAUCUACAAUUUGCGCGUUCAUCAAGAAUCUGCAUGUCGUCAGGCUUCCGACAUUGAUAUCGCUGCGAAGAAUAAACGACUCGAAGUUGGGCGCAUCAUUCGGGCUAAAUAUGUCCCAACUGUUCGCGAAAAUUUCCCUGCGCGACGAACAUGUCGCCAAAGUACACAAUGACACAAAUGGCGAAAAAUUUGCAAUUUGUGCCAUCUGCGGCGUCUCGAUAUCUACGAAGGGCGGUAAUAGUGGAAAUAUGCGAGAACAUAUGAGUCGAGUCCACUUAAGGGUGGCGAGAUGGACCUGUCCCCACUGCAGGAAAGGCUUCUUCCAAAAGAGAGAUUGGGCAAGUCAUGUAAAUCGUGUGCACGGAAAUACAGAUAAAGUGACCUCAACUGCCCAAACUGUAUUUCGAUACAUACACAACCUCAAAUCACGAAUUAUUUACUUUUGCAAAACUUUAGUACAAUAAACUGUAUUCAAAUUAAA